UGAUAUAGGGUCGAAGGUCAUAAUGCGUACAUGCUUGCAUGUAAAGCAGUAUGACUUUACGACCCGAACAAAUAUGAGGAAAAAGCAAUUUACGAAGUAAAUUAGCGGUUUCCGAGGCCAGUAGUACUUAACGAGGCACGAGUUUAGUACUACUCCCA
rnacentral:sRNA from 1 species